GGGCCCAUAGCUCAAUGGUGGAGCGGACGGCUCAUAACCGUUUGGUUCUAGGUUCGAAUCCUAGUGGGCCCA
rnacentral:tRNA from 1 species